rnacentral:rRNA from 1 species
UGAAUACGAGAUGCUACGGCGUCGAAGCAGUCUAUGUCAUACUUCCAAGAAAAGCUCGCACUGUCAUAAACAAAUAAUGCCUGUACCAUAACCGACACAGGUGGGUAGGUAGAGUAUACUAAGGGGCGCGAGAUAACUCUCUCUAAGGAACUCGGCAAAAUGACUCCGUAACUUCGGGAGAAGGAGUGCCUUAUUUAUAAGGUUGCAAUAACAAGAUCCAAGCAACUGUUUAUCAAAAACACAGGUCUCCGCUAAGUCGUAAGACGAUGUAUGGGGGCUGACGCCUGCCCAGUGCCAGAAGGUUAAAGAAGUUGGUUAGCAUUCGCGAAGCUGAUAACUGAAGCCCUGGUGAACGGCGGCCGUAACAAUAACGGUCCUAAGGUAGCGAAAUUCCUUGUCGGGUAAGUUCCGACCCGCACGAAAGGCGUAAUGAUUUGGAUACUGUCUCGGAGAGGGGCUCGGUGAAAUAGACUUGUCUGUGAAGAUGCGGACUACCUGCACCAGGACAGAAAGACCCUAUGAAGCUUUACUGUAACUUGAGAUUGAAAUUGGACUUUACUUGCGCAGUAUAGGUGGGAGGCGUUGAUAAUAUUCUUGCGGGAUUAUUUGAGCCAUCAGUGAGAUACCACUCUUGUAAUGUUAGAUUUCUAACUUUGUAUCAUUAUCUGGUCAAAGGACAGUUUCAGGCGGGCAGUUUGACUGGGGCGGUCGCCUCCUAAACGGUAACGGAGGCGCACAAAGGUUUCCUCUGAACGGGUAGAAAUCGUAUCUAGAGUGUAAAGGCAUAAGGAAGCUUGACUGUGAGACCUACAAGUCGAGCAGGGACGAAAGUCGGUCUUAGUGAUCUGACGGUGCUGAGUGGAAAGGCCGUCACUCAACGGAUAAAAGUUACUCUAUGGAUAACAGGCUGAUCUCCCCCAAGAGUUCACAUCGACGGGGAGGUUUGGCACCUCGAUGUCGGCUCAUCGCAUCCUGGGGCGGUAGUACGUCCCAAGGGUUGGGCUGUUCGCCCAUGAAAGCGGUACGCGAGCUGGGUUCAGAACGUCGUGAGACAGUUCGGUCCAUAUCCGGUGUAGGCGUUAGAAUAUUGAGAGGAGCCUUCUUUAGUACGAGAGGACCGAGAAGGACAUACCUCUGGUGUACCAGUUAUCGUGCCAACGGUAAACGCUGGGUAGCUAUGUAUGGAGUGGAUAACCGCUGAAAGCAUCUAAGUGGGAAGCCCACCUCAAGAUAAGUAUUCUCGU